rnacentral:rRNA from 1 species
CUACGGGCGGCUCCAGUGGGGAAUAUUGGACAAUGGGCGCAAGCCUGAUCCAGCAAUGCCGCGUGAGUGAAGACGGCCUUAGGGUUGUAAAACUCUUUCGCUAGGGAAGAUAAUGACUGUACCUAGUAAAGAAGUCCCGGCUAACUCCGUGCCAGCAGCCGCGGUAAUACGGAGGGGACUAGCGUUGUUCGGAAUUACUGGGCGUAAAGAGUUCGUAGGCGGACUGACAAGUUAGAGGUGAAAUCCCAGGGCUCAACCCUGGAACUGCCUUUAAAACUGUCAGUCUAGAGACCGGAAGAGGUUAGGGGAAUACCUAGUGUAGAGGUGACAUUCGUAGAUAUUAGGUGGAACACCAGUGGCGAAGGCGCCUAACUGGUCCGGUACUGACGCUGAGGAACGAAAGCGUGGGGAGCAAACAGGAUUAGAUACCCUCGUAGUC